rnacentral:rRNA from 2 species
UCAGAUCAGGUAGGAAUACCCGCUGAACUUAAGCAUAUCAAUA